UACGAAGGGGGCUAGCGUUGCUCGGAAUCACUGGGCGUAAAGGGUGCGUAGGCGGGUUUUUAAGUCAGAGGUGAAAUCCUGGAGCUCAACUCCAGAACUGCCUUUGAUACUGGGAAUCUUGAGUAUGGAAGAGGUGAGUGGAACUGCGAGUGUAGAGGUGAAAUUCGUAGAUAUUCGCAAGAACACCAGUGGCGAAGGCGGCUCACUGGUCCAUACUGACGCUGAGGCACGAAAGCGUGGGGAGCAAACAGG
rnacentral:rRNA from 1 species